UACGAAGGGGGCUAGCGUUGCUCGGAAUUACUGGGCGUAAAGGGCGCGUAGGCGGCACUGUUAGUCAGGCGUGAAAAGUCCUGGGCUCAACCUGGGAACUGCGCUUGAUACGGCAGAGCUAGAGGAUGGAAGAGGGUCGCGGAAUUCCCAGUGUAGAGGUGAAAUUCGUAGAUAUUGGGAAGAACACCGGUGGCGAAGGCGGCGACCUGGUCCAUUACUGACGGCUGAGGCGCGACAGCGGUGGGGAGCAAACAGGAUAGAAACCCUAGUA
rnacentral:rRNA from 1 species